rnacentral:lncRNA from 1 species
CAUGCCUAUAAUCUCAACACUCUGGGAGGCCGAGCCAGGUGGAUAACCUGAGGUCAGGAAUUAGAGACCAGCCUGGCCAACAUGGUGAAACCCCAUCUCUACUAAAAAUAUAAAAAUUAGCCGGGCAUGGUGACGCACACCUGUAAUCCCAGUUACUCGGGAGGCUAAGGCAGGAGAAUUGCUUGAAUCCAGGAGGCAGAGGUUGCAGUGAGCCAAGAUCGCGCCACUGCACUCCAGCCUAGGCAACAAGAGCAAAACUCCAUCUCCAAAAAAAAAAAAAGAAAAGAAAAGAAAAACAGAGCCAGGUAGCUACUGUGAAGACAGCACACUUAGGAAUCCUGGGAUGUUAGUGUUAAAAGAAAGCUCCUAGAGCCAGUGAUUCUCAAGUUUGUCCCAGAGCCCUUUUUUCUAAGCCCCAUAUGAAAGGUAGAUUAAAAAAACAAAGUAGCAUGAGUGAAAUUAAGAGAGGGACAGGCAACGCCUUCCAGCCCCUAACUUCUAAAGGUCUGGAAGCACAACCAGAAAAUCAUGUAGCCCAACCCUAUCAUUUUCACAUUAUGAAACUGAGUCCAGAUAAGUUAAUCUGUCCAAGGUCACCCAACAAGAUAUCAGUAGCCCUGGGGGUAAGGACUCUGAUAAGGCGCGGGAGGGUCCUGGAAAGCCUGAGGCAGGAGGAAGAGUGUGCAGAGUUGAGCGUGUCUGGAAGGCUGAUCCACUGCUGGGUCUACAUCAAGGCCCCAUGGGGAGCAGACCCGGCUGCACAUGGCUCUUUUGCUGGAAGAAGAGCAUGGCUAUGCAGAGGACUAGAAUUUCAUCUGGGAAGGCUUCUUUGGACUGUCAGUAGCAGGAUUUCACCAAAUGAGGGUGCUAUGGGACCACAGUUGUCUCUUGUUCCCAUGCAACUCAACCCUGCAGGAGGCCUCCCACAUCCCUGAGAGCCUUCUGGACCUUGUAGAGGAGAUAUUCUUGGGUAGGCCAGCCAAAAGGAGAGGAGAGAGUGGCCAGGGUACGACCUGGAGUAGGGAAGGGAAAAAGUUCCCGGAAAGAAGAGAAUUGGAUGAGAGGUCUCAGUGGAAAUAAAGGUUUUCUGGCAUUGGUCAAGGAAACUCACGUUGUGUUCCUCUUACCUGUGUUGUCCCUUAGCCGAAUUAGUUGAUUUGGGCUAUGAAGAACCACACACAUCUGAAAAGUUCUGUUACAGUCACUGUCUCGUGUCCCUAAACAUUCUCUGGACCUAAAUCUAGCCUGUGUAUUGUGUCAAGCACGUGGAGACGUGAGACAUGAAACGAGGUCCUGUCCCCGUGGAACUCACACGCUAAAUGUAAGCAAAUCAUGGCAAGCCUGGAGAUGCUCCAAGAGGUGCUGGAGGAGUUGGAGCAAUUCCUUCCACUUAGGGAAUCCAGUAAGGCCUCACAAAGAUGGCAAUGUUUGACCUACGACCUCGGAAGACGAGUCCUCAGAUGGGAAGGGCUCAAUAAGCAGAGAUGUCACAGGCAGCAGCCUGGCAGGAGCAAAGCCACAGAGGACACGUGGCCCCAGUGGGUCUGAGAAACCCAGAGGACACUGGGGUGAGGGAGUGAUGGGUGUAGAAGCUGGAAGAUCAGAGUUACAUUGUGAAUUUCAGGGGCCCUAGGCACUUUCGCCUUCACGGGGCUCUUGCUCCAUUAAAAAAAAAAUUAAUGUUAUGACUAUGUUGGUAUAAAGAUGAAUGUAAUCC